GUGAUGCGCCGCCCCACCGCUGCGCCCGCAAGGGCGGAGAGGAAAGUCCGGGCAACGCAGAGCACCCUGCUUCCUAACGGGAAGGACGACGGCGGGAGACGGCCGCCGGACAGCCAGUGCCACAGAAAACUACCGCCUAAGCUGCCCUCGGGCAGCCGGUAAGGGUGAAAAGGUGCGGUAAGAGCGCACCAGCGGGCGGGCAACCGUUCCGGCUGGGUAAACCUCAGGGGUUGAAAGGCCAAAUAGGCCGGCAGGCGGGGCUUCGGCCCUGCAACGGGCGGCUCGUUCGUUGUCGGCGGGUAGGCUGAUGGAGCCCACGCGCGAGUGUGGGCCUAGAUAAAUGGUGGGGCCGCUGCCCUUCGGGGUGGCGGACAGAACCCGGCUUACAGGCGCAUCACCAAA
rnacentral:RNase_P_RNA from 2 species